rnacentral:tRNA from 1 species
UCCGGUACACGUUUAAUGUACAUCAAUGAGCUUGCAACUCACCAUGAACUUCACUACAGAGCCGAU